rnacentral:misc_RNA from 1 species
UUCCCGAGCUGGCGGGGUCCGUGGUGCGGGAUCGAGAUUGCGGGCUAUGGCGCCGAAGGUUUUUCGUCAGUACUGGGAUAUCCCCGAUGGCACCGAUUGCCACCGCAAAGCCUACAGCACCACCAGUAUUGCCAGCGUCGCUGGUAGGGACUGAAGGUUGGAGAAGCAUAUUAACUGCUCCAGGGUCAUUUGAAGCUGGGCUGCAAGUCCAGGUCGGCUGACCUGCUCCUAGGGGUCUCUGAAGCAAGGAAUGUUCCCAUCAGGCCUGACCGCCGCUGCCUACAGAGUCACACUCAAUCCUCCGGGCACCUUCCUUGAAGGAGUGGCUAAGGUUGGACAAUACACGUUCACUGCAGCUGCUGUCGGGGCCGUGUUUGGCCUCACCACCUGCAUCAGCGCCCAUGUCCGCGAGAAGCCCGACGACCCCCUGAACUACUUCCUCGGUGGCUGCGCCGGAGGCCUGACUCUGGGAGCACGCACGCACAACUACGGGAUUGGCGCCGCCGCCUGCGUGUACUUUGGCAUAGCGGCCUCCCUGGUCAAGAUGGGCCGGCUGGAGGGCUGGGAGGUGUUUGCAAAACCCAAGGUGUGAGCCCUGUGCCUGCCGGGACCUCCAGCCUGCAGAAUGCGUCCAGAAAUAAAUUCUGUGUCUGUGUG